rnacentral:rRNA from 1 species
GAUGAACGCUGGCGGCGUGCCUAAUACAUGCAAGUCGAACGCUGGAAAUCUAGCUUGCUAGAUUGAAGGAGUGGCGAACGGGUGAGUAAUACAUAAGCAACCUACCCACGAAGACUGGGAUAAUCUCUGGAAACGGGGACUAAUACCGGAUAGGUAAUCGGAAGGCAUCUUCUGAUUAUUAAAUGUUACAAACACUGGUUGAUGGGCUUAUGGAGGAUUUUUUCGUUGGUGAGGUUACGGCCCAACAAGCCGCAGAUUCGGAGCCGGGCUGAGAGGGUGAACGACCACAUUGGGACCGCGACACGGCCCAGACGUCUACGGGAGGCAGCAGUAGGGAAGUUUAGGCAAGGGGGAAAAACCUGACCGAGCAACGCCGGGUGAGAGAGGGCGGCCUUCGGGUUGUACAUCUCUGUUGUAAGGGAAGAACGGUAGAUAGAGAAUAUCUAAAUGACGGUACCUAACCAAAAAGCCACGGCUAACUACGUG